CCUACGGGUGGCAGCAGUGGGGAAUAUUGGACAAUGGGCGAAAGCCUGAUCCAGCCAUGCCGCGUGUGUGAAGAAGGCCUUCGGGUUGUAAAGCACUUUCAGUGGGGAAGAAAGCCUUGGGGCUAAUACCCUCGAGGAAGGACAUCACCCACAGAAGAAGCACCGGCUAACUCCGUGCCAGCAGCCGCGGUAAUACGGAGGGUGCGAGCGUUAAUCGGAAUUACUGGGCGUAAAGCGCGCGUAGGCGGUCUGAUAAGCCGGUUGUGAAAGCCCCGGGCUCAACCUGGGAACGGCAUUCGGAACUGUCUGGCUAGAGUGCAGGAGAGGAAGGUAGAAUUCCCGGUGUAGCGGUGAAAUGCGUAGAUAUCGGGAGGAAUACCAGUGGCGAAGGCGGCCUUCUGGACUGACACUGACGCUGAGGUGCGAAAGCGUGGGUAGCAAACAGGAUUAGAUACCCUGGUAGUC
rnacentral:rRNA from 1 species